UACAGAGGAUGCAAGCGUUAUCCGGAUUUAUUGGGUUUAAAGGGUGCGUAGGCGGCCUUGUAAGUCAGGGGUGAAAGACGGUAGCUUAACUAUCGCAGUGCCUUUGAUACUGCAGGGCUUGAAUGUACUUGAGGUAGGCGGAAUGUGACAAGUAGCGGUGAAAUGCAUAGAUAAGUCACAGAACACCAAUUGCGAAGGCAGCUUACUAAGGUAUGAUUGACGCUGAGGCACGAAAGCGUGGGGAUCAAACAGG
rnacentral:rRNA from 1 species